GACGAACGCUGGCGGCGUGCUUAACACAUGCAAGUCGAACGGAAAGGCCCCCACCUUGGUGGGGGUGCUCGAGUGGCGAACGGGUGAGUAACACGUGGGUGAUCUGCCCUGUACUUCGGGAUAAGCUUGGGAAACUGGGUCUAAUACCGGAUAGGACCAUGGUUUAGUGUCUCAUGGUGGAAAAAUUAUUGUUUUGGUGCAGGAUGAGCUCGCGGCCUAUCAGCUUGUUGGUGGGGUAAUGGCCUACCAAGGCGUCGACGGGUAGCCGGCCUGAGAGGGUGGACGGCCACAUUGGGACUGAGAUACGGCCCAGACUCCUACGGGAGGCAGCAGUGGGGAAUAUUGCACAAUGGGCGCAAGCCUGAUGCAGCGACGCCGCGUGGGGGAUGACGGCCUUCGGGUGGUAAACUCCUUUCGUUAGGGACGAAGCCACACCUUUUUUGGGUGUGGUGACGGUACCUUUGUUAAGAAGCACCGGCUAACUACGUG
rnacentral:rRNA from 1 species